UGGGGAAUUUUGCACAAUGGGGGAAACCCUGAUGCAGCGACGCCGCGUGAUUUAGAAGGCCUUCGGGUUGUAAAAAUCUUUUCUAUGGGAAGAAAAUGACAGUACCAUAGGAAUAAGGACCGGCUAAUUACGUGCCAGCAGCCGCGGUAAUACGUAAGGUCCGAGCGUUGUCCGGAAUCAUUGGGCGUAAAGGGUACGUAGGCGGGUAAGCAAGUUAGAAGUGAAAUCCUAUAGCUCAACUAUAGUAAGCUUUUAAAACUGCUCAUCUACAGGUAUGGAAGGGAAAGUAGAAUUCCUAGUGUAGCGGUGAAAUGCGCAGAUAUUAGGAGGAAUACCGGUGGCGAAGGCGACUUUCUGGCCAUAACCUGACGCUGAGGUACGAAAGCGUGAGUAGCAAACAGG
rnacentral:rRNA from 1 species